GACGGACCGUGCGAACGUUGUUCGGAAUCACUGGGCUUAAAGGGCGCGUAGGCGGCCAACUAAGUCAGACGUGAAAUCCCUCGGCUUAACCGGGGAACUGCGUCUGAUACUGGAUGGCUUGAGUUUGGGAGAGGGAUGCGGAAUUCCAGGUGUAGCGGUGAAAUGCGUAGAUAUCUGGAGGAACACCGGUGGCGAAGGCGGCAUCCUGGACCAACACUGACGCUGAGGAGCGAAAGCCAGGGGAGCAAACGGG
rnacentral:rRNA from 1 species